rnacentral:rRNA from 2 species
AAACUUGAGAGUUUGAUCAUGGCUCAGAACGUACGCUGGCGGCACGCCUAACACAUGCAAGUCGAACGAAGUAGCAAUACUUAGUGGCAGACGGGUGAGUAACAUGUGGGUAUCUGCCCUUUGGCCUGGAAUAACACGAGGAAACUUGUGCUAAUACCGGAUAAGUCUUUACGGAGAAAGCUUUAUGCACCAUUGGAUGAGCCUGCACUUGAUUAGUUUGUUGGUGGGGUAAUGGCCUACCAAGACUGUGAUCAAUAGCUGAUUUGAGAGGAUGAUCAGCCACAUUGGGACUGAGACACGGCCCAAACUCCUACGGGAGGCAGCAGUGGGGAAUCUUGCACAAUGGAGGAAACUCUGAUGCAGCGAUGCCGCGUGAGUGAAGAAGGCCCUUGGGUUGUAAAGCUCUUUCGUCGGGGAAGAAAAUGACUGUACCCGAAUAAGAAGGUCCGGCUAACUUCGUGCCAGCAGCCGCGGUAAUACGAAGGGACCUAGCGUAGUUCGGAAUUACUGGGCUUAAAGAGUUCGUAGGUGGUUGAAAAAGUUGGUGGUGAAAUCCCAGAGCUUAACUCUGGAACUGCCAUCAAAACUUUUCAGCUAGAGUAUGAUAGAGGAAAGCAGAAUUUCUAGUGUAGAGGUGAAAUUCGUAGAUAUUAGAAAGAAUACCAAUUGCGAAGGCAGCUUUCUGGAUCAUUACUGACACUGAGGAACGAAAGCAUGGGUAGCGAAGAGGAUUAGAUACCCUCGUAGUCCAUGCCGUAAACGAUGUGUGUUAGACGUUGGAAAUUUAUUUUCAGUGUCGCAGGGAAACCGAUAAACACACCGCCUGGGGAGUACGACCGCAAGGUUAAAACUCAAAUGAAUUGACGGGGACCCGCACAAGUAGUGGAGCAUGUGGUUUAAUUCGAAGAUACGCGCAGAACCUUACCAACACUUGACAUGUUCGUCGCGACUCUAAGAGAUUAGAGUUUUCGGUUCGGCCGGACGAAACACAGGUGCUGCAUGGCUGUCGUCAGCUCGUGUCGUGAGAUGUUGGGUUAAGUCCCGCAACGAGCGCAACCCUCACUUUUAGUUGCCAUCAUUAAGUUGGGCACUCUGAAAGAACUGCCAGUGAUAAGCUGGAGGAAGGUGGGGAUGACGUCAAGUCCUCAUGGCCCUUACGUGUUGGGCUACACACGUGCUACAAUGGUAUCUACAACAGGAAGCAAGACUGCGAAGUUAAGCAAAUCCCUAAAAGAUACCUCAGUUCGGAUUGCACUCUGCAACUCGAGUGCAUGAAGCUGGAAUUACUAGUAAUCGUGGAUCAGCGUGCCACGGUGAAUGCGUUCCCGGGUCUUGUACACACCGCCCGUCACACCAUGGGAGUUGGUUCUACCUUAAGGCAAGGUUUCAAACCCUUGACCACGGUAUAGUCAGCGACUGGGGUGAAGUCGUAACAAGGUAGCCGUAGGGGAACCUGCGGCUGGAUUACCUCCUUU